rnacentral:rRNA from 1 species
UACAGAGGUCUCAAGCGUUGUUCGGAUUCAUUGGGCGUAAAGGGUGCGUAGGUGGCGGGGUAAGUCAGGUGUGAAAUUUCGGAGCUUAACUCCGAAACUGCAUUUGAUACUGCCUUGCUUGAGGACUGGAGAGGAGACUGGAAUUCAUGGUGUAGCAGUGAAAUGCGUAGAUAUCGUAAGGAAGACCAGUGGCGAAGGCGGGUCUCUGGACAGUUCCUGACGCUGAGGCACGAAGGUCAGGGGAGCAAACGGG